UAUCAACAGCCUAAAUCAAGAGGUGAAACUUGAGAGCGGUACUUGGAGAGGAAGUAGUUGAUUUAUGCUAAUGAAGGAGUUGGGGUUUAGCUACGCUGGCUGGGAGCCGCCCUUCAUUCACCACAUGGUUAAAGCCAGACUCUACUCGCGCCACUUUCGCAAUCUUACUACGAUUCCCAAACUCCUCGCAAAUCAUAAUAGCAGCACAUGGUUGUGUUUUUUGGAUUACAGGUCCUAGCUCUUGUUCAUUUUGUUAAGUCUUUUUUUCUUUUCUCAGUUUUGCAGAUAUCCCUGAAACAGUGAGUAAACGGUAAGUCUGUACAAGUGAGUGAAGAUGGUGGAUUUUUAGAAGCUAGUGUCUUAUUACGCGCAUGUUAUUGGCAAGAAACCUGUUGUUAGCCUUGACGGGAGACGCGGUAAACGUCAGGAAAGUGAAAUGUUCGGGAGUGUACGCGACACUGGAGCCGCACUUUCACGUUUUCAUUAAGGGAAAAACGUUUUAAUCGUCAGUUUCCGCAUUUGAAAAGAGUGUUGUAAGGGGCGCAUGGCAACCUCUCCUCCAUGGUUGGAGAAUGAGGGAGAUUUGAAAAGCAUGUGUUGCUGCUGCACCUCAAGUAGGUGCCUCGGGGAAGUGAGACGCACUCGUGAAAAUUACGCUUUGCAUACUGAAGUAGUAGCUGCGAGUUACAAACUUGUGUGCCCCUGUUGUCGACCACAUGUUGGCAGAAUUAGAAGUUUUCACGUAAUUUAUGCGCAGUGGUGUACACUUGGAAGUACCUCCAGAACAAAGCAGCAGCACAUGGGGUUCCAGCAGGCCGCGCGCCUUUGCUAUACCGCGAGCUGCGGAGUUAGCUGCUAACGCUAACACACCGACGAGUAGAUAUCAUUAAGUUAUGUUAUUGACAUUGACUUGACUGACCACAUUGCGUGUGCUUAAGUGGGAAUGUCGGUAUCUACAAGCACCCGGCAGCACACACUGAUAUUUGGUCUGUGUUAGCAUGUAUGAGUGAGCUACACUAAUGCAGCUAAGUUGGCUAAGAUAAGAGAAAGCAUUGCUUUGAAGUGGAUGGAGAAUUAACGUUAGCCUGCUGACUCCGUGUCUUUAUAAAGCUAUUUUCCCAGAUGCUAUGAUUCGACACAAGUGAUCUCUUAUAAUUGUUAGUGGUAGUAUGACUAAAAAUUUUUUGUCGGAUAACAGUUUCUCUUAAAACGGUCCACACUCGCAGGCUGCACGCGUUAGCCUAUUUGGCUAACACGCUUGCAUCUGUAUGUUUUGAUGAAGCCCUCUAGUACUACUAGCUUGUUGUGUGCAGGAUUCUGCCUCAAGUUUGCAGUAGCUUGUAUCAUGCGCUUGGUGCGCCUGCUCAUAAUGCGCGCACACUUCACUUGCACCUGAUUACAGUCUAAAGAGCUUAGACACUCACACGGCGCCAAUGUAGUUAUUCUCAUGUUGUGUUUUCCAGUACAUAUAUUAAACGUUCAAAAUGCGGACUCCUGGGCGCCAUGUUAGUGCGUGGGGGAGGGGUACAGCAAUGUGACUGGAGCACAAGUGUUGCUGUCCUCAACAGUCCGGCUUCAGACUUAGGUUUCCCAUUGAACUUUGCUGAUGUAGACAGUUCGACUUACAGCCAUUUCUCUUUGUUUGACUAAUGCACGUGUAUGUAAGAACAAAAUGUUUUCUGGAUUAUAGCCUCGGCCCCUGUUUGCAUCAAAAUACACGUUUGUAGCCAAUUAGGAGUGUUACUGGGCAGUACAUCAAUGGUUGGUGCAUGAGGGCUUUGUGCAAAAAGGGAAAUGAGUCAGUCACUUGACCACUGACAGGGCUUUAGGAUUUUUUUUCAUAUUUCUGUAGUGCCACUUUCAAGGAUCUUAAUAUAUUGAAGGUUCCUCCAGAUGUUGCUAGUUUCUGCAGAAAAAUCUAAAUAGAUAAAUUAGAAAAGGAAUCAAGGUUCACUAUUUGAAAGCAAACAAAGCUUAAAUGCUUCAUAAAUGUGCACAUAGUGACACUAGCCGCAUCAAAAGCUACUAUCAGCCCUCUUAUGAGCUGACUUCCUUUGGAAUUGCAUCAGGCAUCCAGGGGUUCUUGAACACUAACAGAUUAACAGAGUGUAAACACCAGGUGGAAGUCACAAAACAAGUCUAACACAACAUGAGUCAUUCUGGUUGGAGAAAACAGUCAACAAACAGUACUGUUAAGUCACAUGGUGCACUCAUUGCUAAACUACUGCCAAUCUGAAGCAAUGCUAUAGUGAUCAGUCUAAUGAACAGAUAUUUAUUUUUUUAUGAUUUAUUAGUCUUUGAACAGUCUGUCGGUUUGUCAAAUGUGAGGAUGUGAUGCUUGUGCCCAUUUUAUAUCCUGAGUUUUGUUUUUGUAAAUCCAAGAAAACAAACACCUUUUUAGACAUCACUUAGACUUUGCAAACUAAUGAUCUGCUUUUUUUUUCACUAUUAUCGACAUGUUGUAGACUAUGUGAUACGUUAUCAAACAUAAUGUAUUUUAGUUGAUCAUGAGAAUCUGUGAUUUCAGCCUCGAAUUGAAGUUGCUGACUUCCCUUUGAUGCUACGUCUCAGUUAUGCUUGCAGACCCCUUCUUCACAUCUGUAUCUCCUCUGGAAAGCAAUUCAUUGUGGAUUUCAAGAUGAAGACCUUAACCGGCACCAUCCCAGAAGGAGUGAAACAGGUACUGAAGUAAUGAGCCGUGACUUCUGUGGCAGCGUCAUCUUGGUAGUGGAGCGUGGACUGAGUAAGUUCACAUCAUCUCCCUGUAACUGAGCAAAGGGCUCAGAGAAACCAGGAGUACUGGGUAUGACCAGCUGGAAGGAGACCUCAAGAUAAACUCAGAACACACAGCAGGGACUACAUCUCUAACUGAUCUAGAAAUCCCAAAAGAGCUGCUGUAAUCCACUGUGACCUCAUAAAAGAGAAACCUGGCUCCCUCUGCACCCGUGGGUUCAGGCAUCUAAUCCAAAAUCUUCCGGUGCAGCACCACCCUCUGAAACAAGCCAAUGUCACUUUAAAGUACCUUUCAAAAUGCGGUCUCCCAUACCAAUACGAAUUCUUUGCACAGUGAUGGCAGCCAUGUUAAUCCACUGUUGAUCUACCCUAGGAUCAAGCUGGUCCAAAAUCAAUAAAGCCAUGAAAGCUUG